UCUUCUUUGUUCCCCUGUCUUUCUUUGAAACCAAAAUGAAUUCCCUCUUCAGGCCACCACCUGAGAAAGUUCGCCAACUAAAGGAGCUAGGCUCACAUUUAGGCAAAGGGAGAACACUGCUCACACACUCUAAUAAGUUCAAACUCCUGCCAUAGGCCCAGGACACCCUGGCCGAAGAGAGCACACACUUGAUGUUCCCACAUCUCCUCACUUACCUGACAGCAAACCAAAGAACCCCAAAGCUGGAAGUAAGCACUCAGCAACCAAUGGCAUUUGUACAACUGGGAGUGAUCAUAACAACCAGAGUUGCGGGAAAUCACUCAAAAGUGAGGAGGGAAGAGUAAUAACUGCAUCCUUGGGUUACCACCACCAUCACCGUCCCCUAUCAGGAGGCUCGAACAGGUCAAGAUGUUCCCAAGAGACACAUAUGCUCGAGGCAGAUAAACAGGAAACCGUCUUUUGAAGCUCCUUGAUUUUAGUGCAAACUAUGCCCAAUUUAUUGGCAUAGAAGCAGCACCUUUCUCCUAAGGCUAAACAGAUUCCCCCCUGAUUGGCAGUCAGUAAGUCUAGGCCUCGCCUAUUUUGGAGGACCACUUCUGCCAAAGAGUCAAUUUGGUCUUGUAAGUCCCUAAUAGUGCCAGAUAGGGUCUGCACAUCAUCUAUAAGCUGCUGAGAUAGAUGGCAAUAAGAAUGUAUCGCUGUACCCAGUCCAGCUGUGCCUGUGCCCACAGCAGCCUUUAUCCCCAGUGUGGCAAGUAACGGUAGAGCCUGUAUAGCUUGCCUGUGUCUUCUCACUAGAGUGUCUAGGCUGGGGAUGGGCAGGGGCUCAUCCCCAGGGACAAUGGUUAUGUCAGGGAGGAGCAGGGUGAGAACACAGACACCUGUCCAAUUUGUAGAGAGUCGAGGGAAGGCAGAAUUUUCCCCACACAUAAAAACAGUUCCAUUAGGGGGACAGAGGGCUGGAGUGGGUAAGGAAUAAUUCUUCACCAUCGAGCAGUUCCCAAAGGAGGUCACUCCAACAUCCACAUCAUAGGUAUUGUUUUGCAUCAUACCCAGAAGGCAUAUUGUAAAGACACCCAUGGGCUGGACCUUGAAAGGCAAUCCGGGCUGGCAAGUAUCAUCACUAUGCAUGGUGACAUUAAUAGGGACCACUAUGGGCAUAACCACCCCUGUUGUCAUGCAGAGCCAGCAAUCGUUAGCAAGUGUGGGAUUGGAGUUGUUAAGUAAGAAAAGGGUGGUUUUUAAGAUAUCCCACAUAUUGGCAUCCAGAUCUGGGAGCUGAGACUUAGGCAGCACCAAGGGGUGGUAUAUGAGGUCAGGGACCUGUGGUUUCAAAAGCCUGAUGAUUUGAAGA